AUUGAACGCUGGCGGCAGGCCUUUCACAUGCAAGUCGAGCGCGAAAGCACUUCGGUGUGAGUAGAGCGGCGGACGGGUGAGUAAUGCUUGGGAAUCUGCCCAGUAGUGGGGGAUAACGUGUGGAAACGCACGCUAAUACCGCAUACGUCCUACGGGAGAAAGCAGGGGAUCUUCGGACCUUGCGCUAUUGGAUGAGCCCAAGUCGGAUUAGCUAGUUGGUGGGGUAAUGGCCUACCAAGGCGACGAUCCGUAGCUGGUCUGAGAGGAUGAUCAGCCACACUGGGACUGAGACACGGCCCAGACUCCUACGGGAGGCAGCAGUGGGGAAUAUUGCACAAUGGGCGAAAGCCUGAUGCAGCCAUGCCGCGUGUGUGAAGAAGGCUCUAGGGUUGUAAAGCACUUUCAGUAGGGAGGAAAAGCUUAAGGUUAAUAACCUUGAGCCCUGACGUUACCUACAGAAGAAGCACCGGCAAACUCCGUG
rnacentral:rRNA from 1 species